UCUUGGAAAAGAUGAGCACCUGGGAAGCAAAGAGAUGGCCUGAAGUGGGCCCUGUAAGGACUGGGGAAUCACCUCUGCAAGCGAGGAUCAACCGCGCACGCUUCCCUCUCCUUUGGCAACAGCCACAGGUAGUGAAGAAUGUGGAGUCCAUCGCCGAACUGAGAUCUCUCAACUCUCCAUCCCUGCUCUAAAUAUGCUGUUCCCAUUCUCUGACCUCUCUGUUUGAGCCCCAUCCCACACAGGGACACAUCUGUAUCCUUCUGCGCAGUGUACAGGACCUUCCAUGGUCUGGCCCACCUGUCUUCCCGCCCCAGCCUCCUCCCUCUCCACAUUCCACAGCAAUCUCAUGUGGCAGAUACUGGGACUUCCUGCAGUGCCCGGGACACGUGGUGCUCUCUUGCCUCCAUGGUGUUGCCUUCUCAACUCCUCUGGCUCAGCUCAGCUGUCACCUCCUCCAGAAAACACAGUCCUCCCCUGCUGCCAACUUCUGCAGGUUGAGUUAGGUGACCCUCUCUCUGUUCCAUGCAUCCAUUAAAAAAUCCCUAUCACAGCCUUUCUCAUGUUCUAAGGCAGCUGCCUGGUGACUUCUCUGUCUUCCCAAAUGAGCUGUGUGCUCCAUGAAGGCAGGUUCUUUCUCUUUCUAUUUGUAAACCCGAAAGCUAGUCCAGUGCCUAACACAUAACAGGCCUUCAAUAAGCAUUUUCUAAAGGACAGAUGAACACAUUCACAGAAGAGAAAUGAGAGGCAUGGGGCAUUUACAGAGAGGCAUGGGGAACCUACCAUGCCAGGUAAGGCUGGGACUGGGGCCACGGCACAGAUGGUUUUAUCCAGGUGCUUUACAGGCCUAUAGGACAGAAAAUAUACAGACAUUCUCCUACUUUAAGAGUUUAAAAGUUUUGAUAUCCUCUUCUAGGCAUAUAUCCUGGAGAAAUUCAGAGAAAUCAAGAAAUAUGUGAGGAGGCUGUUCAUAGUAGCAAAAAAUUAAGAACAAUCCAAAUAUCUAUUAGGAGGAUGCUUAAGUCAUUGUGGUAUCUUAUACAAUGAAAUAUAAUAUGGUAAUGAAAAUAAAAGAACUGGAGCUACAUGCAUCAACAUGUAUGGCUCUUGUGAACAAUGUUGCAAAGCAAGAUGCAGAAUAAAUACCAUUGAAAAACAAGUUGGAGGCUGGGUGCAGUGGCUCACACCUGUAAUCCCAGCACUUUGGGGGCCCAGCACUUUGAGCCCAGGAGUUCAAGACCAGCCUGGGCUACAGAGUGAGACCGUGUCUCAAACAAAACCAAACAAAACAGAAAGAAAGAAAGGAAAGAAGGAUGCACGGAAGGAAAGAAGGAAGGAAGGAAGGAAGGAGGGACGGAGGGAAGGAAGGAAGGAAGACAAGUUGGAGAAUAUAUAGAAUAUGGUUUGCUUUGUAAGUUUCCUAAAUAUGCAUAGCUAAAUAAUAUACUGUUUAGAGAUACAGUCAUACAAAUGUGGUUAAUUCUUUUUCUUUUUUUAAUAAUUUUUGUUCUUUUCACAGAGAAGGGGUCUCACUAUGUUACCCAGGCUGGUCUUGAACUCCUGAGCUCAAGUGGUCCACCCGCCUUGGCCUCCCAAAGUGCUUGGAUUACAG
rnacentral:lncRNA from 10 species